GCCCUACCUCAGCAAGAAGACACCAAGUUGGCUUCUACUCCUGCUGAGAGGAGACCAAACUCUUGCCGAGUGCCCCCUGAGGGGCUUCCAGCUCCUCCUUUUCGGGCCUUCUCAGUUGGAUUGGAUUCCACAUUGGCGCUUACCUGAAUGAAAGAGGGAUCUGCUACUGGCACCCCACCGGGGAUCCCUGACCUGAAUCUCAAGCACGCACUAGGGUUCAUGAGCCAUCUGGCUUUGGAGAAUGUAAGCUCUAUAAGGGAAGGGAGUUUUGCCUGUCUAGUUCUGUAUCUGAAGUGCCUAGACAAAAGCCUGGCCUGAAGGAAGUGGCAAUCAAUUAUUCCACAAAGUAAUGAACUUCCCCAUCACAGCCCAGCCUAUGAACGGCAUGUCUGCAGUGACCACCUAAUGCCAAAGACACCAGGGGAGAUUUUGUCAGAGACCAGCUCGGCUACCCAAGCCUGCUCAGAGGUGACUUGAGCCAGUCUAAGAGAAACUGGUAAGGAACUGGUUAACAAGCCAUGUAUUACUAGAAAUGGCAGCACCAAGAUUCUUCACUUCAUGCUCCCCCAUGCCUGCACAAAACCAUAUUGCUGCUACCUGUGGAUGCUUAUUGAUUCUGUCAUUGCCCUCUUAGGCUAUCUUCCUGAAAGGCUCUCUGAAGUCAAGUAUAUGACAACGUUGGAUGUAACCUAAGGAAGGUAUUUUCCAUGUCAGAUGAGAACUGGGCGGUCGUAGAUUCUGGAACAUCCCAUUCCUCUGGCACCCUGAAGACAUGAUGAGCAAAUGCUGGGUAAAGGAAAAAGCCCAGACAGGACGUAGCCAGGGCACAGGACAAGUGAAAGGAGACUCAGUCACAUGUGGCCUGGACCUGAUUUGGCUGAGCUCAGUUUGCUCAACGUAGAGCUGCUCCUACCCAGGUCCUACUGCCCUGGGGCCAGGACUCUUGAGCUCACCCACGUUGCCAGGCUUCACACCAGGGAACUGACAGAAGCCCUCUGCUCUGUGGUCACUCCACAAACAAGAGUGAUGGUGGCAGUGGAGGGAUGGUGGGAGGGAUGGUGGCAGUGGACUUCUUUCUCCCAGUGAACUUGUAAUUCUGUCUGCUAUAAACUGGAUUACUUUCCCAAGAUGAAGGCAGUAGGGAUUAACAGAAACACAGGUGUUAAAGCGCUGUGGCAUCAGAACUUGGAAUUCCAGCUCUGCCACUCAGCUGGAUAAUCUUGGGCGAUCUCUUAACCUCUGUGUCUCAGUUUCCUCAUGUGUAAAAUGGGAUAACCACAGCAUCUGCUUUACUGGGAGGCUGAGGAUGAAAUCUGUUCAUUCUUAUGUGCUGAACCCAGCAUGUUAGAGCUCCAUGUUAGAUCUUGUUGCUGCUGUUGUUGUAAAAUAAAGGAAGUCAGCCCCUAGCCACUUGCUCAGGCUGGCUGGAGACCGCCAAGGUUAUCAGAGUCCUGAGGCAGUUGGAUUUCCAGUAAUUAAGGGAGUAGAAAUUAAGGGAGUAGAAAUACAGCCUUUCUCCUUUGGGUUUCAGAAUGAUGUAGACUCAAGCAAAACUAGCCCGGAUGGAAACUUUUCAGUGGCCAUGGGAAUUAUUCCAACGAGGGGCUGCCUGGGUUAAAAGUGUGACUCUGGAAAAGGAGGAAAUGGAACCCUAAAGCCACUAAAUCCCUGAGUUUAUAAUUAACAGACAAGCAUUCGCUCUGCCUGUUCCGGAGCCAUGUGCCUCGCCGGGGAAGGGCACCGUAGUCACACAAAAAUAACCCCCCAGUGGGUUUUUGAUGUGUUGAGCCUCUUUGUUUUUCUGAAUUUUAAUGAAGGGCUUUCCAGGCAGGAUAAGAGAAGCACUCAGCACUCCCUAUGGCUGGGGAGUGGGCCUUAGUUAGCUGCUGCCAGCCUAACCCAAAGCCGCAUCCAAGAGAAGCAGGCAGCGAAGGGGCUCUGUCCUCAGAUAAGAAGUCUCAGGGAGGAAAAGAGAAAAACAAAAACAAAAGACAUCUCUGUUUAGGAGAAGGGUGGGACUCUGCUCCUGAUCUCAGCACAUCUUGGAACCAGGCGGUUAUAAUACUUGCGGCGGUGGAGAUGGCUGCGACUUAUCUGAAAGGAUAAGGAGAAGGGAGGCCCAGGCUCUGUAAGAGAGGGCUUCCAUGGAAUUCUCAGGGCUGCUGGCUGGUCCCUUCCCAUGAGAAUCAGAAAUGAGGCUCUGGCAACCUGUAGAAGCUUUUGGAGCUCAAGGCAUGGGUUGCAGGAAGAAGGGAGAAAGGAGAAUAUUGUCACAACAGCCACCAAACCCUGAUGCGAGUGAAGAAUGGGUCUCCUUAUCCCUCCCACCGCCUCCUCCCUCCGCUGCAGCUGCCUGGAAUCCUAUGAUGCAGGUGGCAGUGCUGCGUCACUAAGGUCACAAAGGACCCAGAACACCCACGGGAAGGGAGGCCCCGCCCCAGAACCCCAGCAGGCAACUGUUUGAAACCUCCCGAGAAGUGAACAACUUUCAGUAGGAGUGCCCACUCCUUCUCCACCUGAAUCGAACUCUCCCACAUGCUCCGCAACAAGGCCGCGAGUUCUGAGUUCCUAUCAGCUGGUUUAAAAGCUGUUCUUCACUUGUGAUACAUUUUUCCAAGAAGAGACUGGAAAGAAAUGGAGGAGAUGGCACAGAAUAAACAAUUUAUUGCAAUUGAAUUAUCCAAUGUGGUUGACUGAAUAUAAAUAUUUUUAUUACAAAAUAUUCCAGGUAAAAAUUCGGAGCUGCUUACAAGCUUCUUUAGCUUUAAGCACAUUGCAUUUCUUCACGUCUAGAGCAUGGGUGACGGGCUCAGGUGUGCCUGGCCUGCCCCGCAGGGUCCUCCUUCUCCGUCUGCAGUGGGUCCCACUCAGUGAGGACCUCUGAGGACACCUCAGUGAACAGAUGGUCCCAGUCCCAGCCGACGUCAUCCUGCCAAGAAGGGUUUCACUGGGUAAGACAAAGAAAGGCCUUUUCCCUCAACUGUAGCUGACUUCUCCCUCCCAUCCAGGCCUCAGGGAGGCACAGGCCAGCCCGGGAGUCGGCUGGUUAUGGGAAUGCCAGAGCUGGGAGACCAGGGAAUUGCUGCCACCACUGUACCUCCCGGACUUCGUGCUCUGGCGUGAGCACUUUGGUGAGGAGUUUCAGGUCGAUCUCCCCAUCCUGUGAAUGCAAACAAAAAAAGGUCAGGCUGAGCACCUUGAGGGCUUUCAGGCAACUCUUUCUUGCAAAACCAGCAUCAGUUUUUGUAUGUCAGAACUUCCCAAACUGAGACCUGUAGGAAUGCCUUCACAAGAGAGUAAAAUCAUGAAUGAAAACACAUGCCCACUGAGAAAUGAGGAAAGGCUAUGCUUCCUACAUGCUGGGUGUGCUUUGGGGCAAAGGACCGUACCAGGAGGGCUGAGCGUGACAGCAGUAUAUCCACAGGGACAGAGGGGAGUGGGGUGCCAUCAGGUGCCAAGUGGGCAGCCAUGGAGGCAGGUGGGAGGCUGGCACUGAGAAACACUGGACUAUGUCGGGUCCAGGGUUGCUGUGAGAUGAACAAGGAUAAAACCUGCAGCAGAGGUAUGGGUGCCAGGCAGCCAGCCUUGGGGGACUGGUAGAGGUGCUGUAUAGCUUGGGAGGAACUGAGAAAACUCUGCGGAUUGAAGCCCAUUGCUUGAAGCCCGCCUCUCUACGCAGAAGCUGUUCCACUCACCAAUGUCUGAAUGGCUGAGUACUUCAUGAGGUCAUUGUCCAGGUCACGGUAGGUCAUCACCCGCUUUAUCUGGAUGCUGAAGGAAAGAGAGAACGAGAGGAGGGAACCCCAGGCAGGACCCGUUCCAGGAGUGCUGCCGGGCCCCCGUCCCCAGAGCCCUGUAUACAGCUGGGGAUGACCAGAAUGGGAAUAACAAAAUGGGAACCCUGGAUGGAGCCCAACACCAGAAAGAUCCAGAUUGACAUCAAGGUCCACCAUAGAUGAUAUCUGGAGUGUAUUAAUUCACGUGUUCUUUGCCUCCCCAGUCAUAUCCAAUUUAACCUACCUGGGAGGGGCUGCCACCUGCAAAACAAAGUCUUCUUCCUGUACUUCCUCCAGAUCCGGAAUGAUAGGAAUAUCUGCAAGGAGAGGCAGAGGCAACACUGUCUGCAGAACUCACAGGGAUUGUGCCUGCUCCUCCACUUCUUACUCAUUCCCCUUCAACACACCAGCCAUGGGGCUAUGGGCUGGGGCAGGAAGGACAAUCAGAUACAAACUAGGGGUAGGAUCGAAGGUGGAGUUUCAACGAUGUCUCAAUCCCAGGCCUCACUCCAGAAUCUGCUGAGAUAGAACCUCCUGGGUCGGGCUCAAGCAUCCAGAUUUUUUUCCCAGGCGUUCCUUGGUGAUUCUGAUGCGUACGACAGGUUAGGAGCCACUGCAGUGGAUCUCCAAGGAGACAUGUAAAGAAAUAAAUGUAACGAAGGGCUUAUUAGAGGAGAGGAAAGAAGAGGAACUGACAAGUGAGCCUGGCAUGGUCAGGGACAGAGGAACUGAGAAUGUGUAGUGUCACAAAGUGGAUGUCGCAGUGAGUGCCACUCCUCAUGACCCAGAUCUCUAUGUGCAUUAGCCCCAGAGUGCAAUCGUCAGGGCCCUCAGCCUGCAUCUCAAGGGCAUCUUCCACCUAAUGACAUAGCCUGACUCCCUGCGAUCCAGGCCUCCAUUUGCCAGGUCUAACGUAACCAGUGAUGCUGAUUCUACGAUCAUGCUUUGCUUGCUGUCUCAAGAUUUUCCAUCUCUGAACUCUCCAGACAACACACGAGGAGACACGAGGCCAUUUCUUCCACCAGUCCAACAAAAUCAUGCAAAUAGAGAACUGGGAAACCAGUCCAUCCAUUAAUUGUGGCAACUUGCUUAAGAGACCAAAAAUUGUCCAUGUUCUCAUGGGUCAACCUAACAUCCUAAAGAAACAUUUCCUUCUCCGAGUAUCACUGACUGGUUGAGAGAUUUUGUUUUAAACAGUCAGGGGUCGGGGAGAAGGGAGAGAUGGUGCAAGAAAAAAGGCCUGGUGGGGUGAGACAAUCCUGGAAUCCCCAAAGCAACUGUAAACAAGGAAAGAAGGAAAAAUCCCAAAGAUAGACUGGUGAAGACAUCUUUCAUUUCUGCUUUCAUGGAUUGAAUUCAAUCUUAGUUUUAAAAGAGUUGCAAAAUCAUUUCAAGAACAGCUGAGAAGACCCUUGCCACUUUCAGGCAAUUCAUGAUUUAGACUUUUUGAUCACUCUACUCAAGUGACGCCAGAGGAUGAAAAUGUCAGUUCCAAGCCUGGCGUCUUUAUUAUGACUUCCGACUGUGGAGGCACAGAUGUCCUACCUGGAAAAAGAGAGCAUGCAAGGCAGAGACAGACACAGAGAAAAUUCAACAGAAAGAGACAGGCAGAGAAAACAAGGGACAAAGAGUGAAAAGGGAUAAAAAUAGAAAGAAAUUGCUGAUAGGGAAAAUAAAGAAGAGACACAUCCACCACCCCCCAAAUAAUGAACCACAUUUAGCGAGUCUUAUAGCUAGAAAGAAGCUGUUCGGAGCUUAGAUUAUAUCUCUCUACCCUGCUAGAGAAUUGGAUAUGGAACGCUCUAAGAUUCUAUUUCUUAUGCUAAUAGAAAUUUAGCUUUCUUUUUCCCUCCCGUUCUGCGUGAUUAAUACAGUCCAUUGUGCAGGCUGCUGAGAAUGCCGUUCUCCAGGCUGGUAAGACUGCACAGGCCCUGUGGAGGGACAGGGAGGAAGCUGGCUGUGCCACGCACCAUCGGCAGUGUGACAGUUUUGGAGUGCGCCUGGCUCUCCUCGGGUGCAGAGUCCAGCCUGAGAUGAAUAUUCAGAAGUUGAACCCGGUGAACUGCCUGAGUGGGACAGAGCCAGCGAUGACAGCCAGGCCAAGGCAAGCUGGAACAUUCUUGUGCAGUGACAGCUUGAGCCAUCGCAGCAGAGGCAGGCCAUCCAACUCCGGCCCCCAGCAGAACAGGUGUCUGCGGAGCAGGUUUUGGGCAAACUUCAAAGAACUUCACAAUUUUACAGUUUCUGAUUUACAAUCACAGGCAAGUGCUCAUGAGCACAUAAUAUGUUCUGGGGAAUUUUUUUUUCUCUUUAUCUCCUUCCCCCCUCCCCGCUCCCCCACUCUCACAUAUACCAUGAACGAACACAGAAAAAAGAAAACAGACUUAGGAAACUAGCUUUUUCACAAAAUUACCUAUAAGCAGUGAUCCGGCCUGCCUCCAGUAAGAGACAGUGGCGACCUGCAAAGGUGGACUGGUGACGCAGCCUGAUUCAGGUUGUAAAGUAUGACAUGCAAAGCACACGAUUUUAACAGAAACAAUACAAGGAAGACAGGAGUCAGUUCUGGUACUACUGAAAAGCAACCACCAUUUUAAAAAAUCCAAAAAUUAUGUUUACUUUAUUUUCCUUUUCUUCAAUGUUGCUAAUACUGAGAAGAACAUGAACAGCUGCAAUGAGGUCAGGGGCGUGCUAUGUAGAACUCCUUGCUCCAUGGUUAAGAAGCAGGCUCUGGAGGAAGGAGGGUCCGCUUCAAACCCUGGCUCCACCACCUACUAGUUGUGUGACUUUUUCUCUCUAUGCCUCAAUUUCUUCAUCAAUAAAAUGAAGAUCAGACUCACGCCCACCCAGUCAGUUGCUGUAAGUAUUAAAUGCAAUGAUCUUUAUAAAAUACUAGCACUGUGAUCAGUAUAUAAUAUUCAAUAACUAUUCUUAUGGACUUCACCGAUAUUAUAAUAUUACAUAUGUAGAGAAACUACAUGGCUCCACCUUCAUUUUCUCCUGCCCAGUGAUGGCCAUUUUUCAGAAGAAAACACUGAGGCUAAGCAAGAUUAAGCAGCUUGCAUGGAGUGAAUCUAUGAGUAAUGGACUUCAAUGUGGCUGCAAUGCCUGAGCCCUGCCAUGCCCCACACGGGCUUUCUUCUCAAAAGUGAAAUGCCUUCAAAGACACCUCCUCCUAUAGUGAAGGGGUGGGACAGCUGCCCAUGGUCGAGACAGCUUUCACUUAAUGUCCUGUGAAACUUAAUGUCCUCUCUUCUGGGGUCUUUCUCUCGAUUCCAAUAACUAGAGAUAUGCUAAGUCCUCUCCGUUACCAUACACCCUGACUCGCUACUUCUCUACAAGGCUAAAUGGGGCAGAAUGGAAAAAAGGCACCACAUCAGAGUCCCAGAGACUCCGUCUCCACCAACCCUAUCUUAUUAAACUAGCCCCAAGGAGGAGGAGGUGGCCAGGUACCUUGAACAGCCCGAGGAGGGGAAGGUGAGGCAAGAGGGCUUUGAAACCCCCGGCACCAUGGGAGCCGGUAUCCCCAGCUUCCCCGGCAGGCAGUGCCACCGUCACACGGCCGCACUGCUCUCUGCCCCAGCUCUGAUGCUUAAACAGAAGACUCCUUCCUUGCCUUGUGCACUGCUCCUUGCCUCGACAUUGGCUAUCUCACAGCUGUUCAACCUGCUUCUCUGUCCCACGUGGGGCCUGGUCAGCCACGCUAUGAGGAAACUCCAUUUGUCUGCUUGUUCAUUCAUUCUUUCAUUAAUUCGUUCAAGGAUACUGAUGGAACACCCACUACGUGAAAGGUACCAUGCCAGUAACAACAGCAAAUAAAAUAGAUAUGGUCCCUGUCUUCAUGGGGCACCAGUCUGGUGGAGGCUAAUAAACACAAAGAAAGGUACUGCUUACAAAUUAAAAUACACACAAAGAAGGAAACCAACUGGAUUUCAUGAUGGAAAGCAACAGGGAAACCUAAUUAUUUUUCUAAAACAAAAGUAACAUUAUAGGUAGUAAUAAAUUCAAAUGCUAUAGAAAGGUUUAAAAUGAAAAAUGUCCCUUCUGUGAGACCCAGUCAUCUCCCUAGAAGUAAUCACUGUUAACGAUUUUUUCAUAUUUAUUUGCUGAAAAGAAUUCGCGAAUAACACAGCACGUAUGUCCUUUUAAAAAUGCUCACAAAUGGGAUCACACUACACAGACACUGUUCUGCACCUUGCUUGUAUCUUUCCUUAUCAAUAUAUAGAUGUAUUUUACUUCUUUUAAAUGACCUUCUAAUAUUCUAUUGAACACUGCUCCACAAUGCAUUUAAUCCAGUCCAGAGAGGAUUUAAUUUGGGGGUGUGGGAUUAGGGUUAGUAGGGUUAGGGUUGAGGAGUUAAAGAAGGAAGAAUAUGUAUUUCUGCAUUGAGGACAGGGUAGCUGAAGCUGAAGGAGAAGCAGGAUUCAGCCAGGUGGGGAACAACAUUUGCAAAGGUGCUCAGCGGUGAGAAGUAACUGGAAACACUGGAGAAACUGAAGGCGGGACGUUGUGGUUGGGCUACGCCAGACCCCUUCCAAGGCAUGAUGGCGGGAAAUCCAGAGGGACUAAGCAGGACAGAAAAUGCGUGUCCCUUCCUUAGUGGAUCACUUCUGAAUCUAACAAGCAGAAAUAAGAGCUUCCUACUUUAUCCUUCCAUACUACUUUAUUCGUGGCCACAGGGUAGCCCUCGCUACCUUGCAGGUGGUACAAUUCAUGAAAUUUGCCCCAAGUCUGCCUCCUGGAUGGUGAACUAGCUGACAGCAAUGCCACAUCCCAGGCAUCUGUGCAUUCCAAGGACUGGAAAAAUUAGGAACAACUGAAUAGAACUGCAUUCAACAGAUGCUCCUCAGGUCAGGAAGUGACACACACGGAAGAGCCAUGUCAACCUUCUCUACUUCUCUACAUUGUUCCAAUUAGAAUUGCUACUGAGUCCUAAAGCUGCCUGAGUAGGAUUCAUUUCCCAAGGACAAAUAAGAGUAAUCCUUGGCUACUUCCUGGAUUUGAUAACGUCAUAGCAAAGGCUUUGGCUUCCUUCAGAGCUGCAAGGCCCCCUGGGAGAGGCUUGUGCAUAUCCAAGAAACAAUGGAUGUGUGGAGACAAAGUUUCAGAGGAAGAGUCAUUCAAACUUGGUCCAAUAUGGCCCAUCUGGCUUCCAUCCUGAGGCUGGGUCACACUGCUCUUCACCAAUCUCCACAUUCUGGAACCACCCAACAGAGGCUUCUUAACGCACAGCAACAGCAGUACAAAUCUAUUUCAAAAAGAGAGAUCGCCAAAUGGGAAACCCAUCUUGAUACUAGACCACUACUCUGCCGACACCCAACACAUCUACCCAAAAAAUCGUUCAGCAGAUGAUACCACAGAAAUAAAUGGGUGCUGCCUAAAUAAUAGAAACUUAUGGAAUACCAAUAGAUCAAUUACAACUGGUUUCAAAGAUGUGAGCUGUUGGACGUGAGGGCAACUGCCAUUUGGCCUGAAAUACAUUCAUUAUGGAUAAUAUCAUCACAUGCACACACUAAAAUGCUAAUUACCUAGCAAAGUCCCAGAAGGAUCCUUUUCAGUUCCUGUAGCCUGACAGUCAAAAGCCUACCUGCCUCUUCCAAUGAAGCCAGCCCCAAAUCUCUGUGAUGUGUUUUGUGAUAGCAUGCGUUCAGAUCCAGCUGUUGUUUGCCUGUUUGGGUACCGCUAGAACAGAAAGUGACUUCUUAGAUUGGACUCAGCUUGCAAUGAGUAUACCCCAAGCACUACCCAGCUCUUCACCUGGAGUAUAAAUCUAACUCCAGCAGGGAGAGAACAAAGGAGACACCCCAAUCUGGCCCCUGGGUCCCACCCAGGCAGAGAUGCCUCAGGCAGGGAGCUUCUUCCUCUCUGUAACCCUUAACUCUUUGCUAAUUUUCUUGGUUGGGGAUUUCUGAAUAGGAUUCCCUGGUCGUGUUCAGAAGGGCUUCUAGAGAACUACAUAAAGUCUCUUCUGUACUCCAGCACUUUCUCACUUUGACAUCUGAGCAAAUGAUACAAAUGGUUGGCUUAGCUUUCCAGCUUCCUCAGGAUGCUUAAUGAUGACACCACCCCACUCACUUCAUUUACUCAAUGAGCUUCCAAAGGCAAAUGCUGUUUGGUUACACACAUUCUCUUCCCAAACUUCUUUCCCACUCAGUGCCCUGGCCACUGCAGAGCACUCACAGGCUGUUCAAGGCUCAUAUCCACCAUACACAGCCAAGUUCAACAACCAAUCCACAUGAAAGCGAUCUGGACAUGCCGCUUAAGGACACCCCAAUAAGAGCCGUCCAGACAAACCCCUGAUUCUGUGCCCAAAGUCAACAGACAUUCAGAGCUCUCAAGUGGAAGAAAACAAUGCCCAUGUUUUUAGGAAAUGACAACUGAAAACCAGAGAUCAUUAGAAUUUUUCUCUGCAGCUACAAAACUUUGUUUUACUGAAUGCUGUUACCUUCUGCAUCACGUAUGGGGAAUUUUAAACAGGCAAAUGGAAGAAGGUCUGAUUGAAGAUGAAGUUAAGUGAAAGAAAUUGGUCUCAUUUAGCACAUGACAGGAUUCAUCUGUGUUCCCAAGUCCACUGAGGUGGCAUCAUGGGCGUUUCAUAUUCAUGAGCUGCUGCGACACUAUGUCCCCUCAUUUACAAAGAGCCGUGUUCAGCAAAUUCUGUCCCUGUGGACACUCCGUGCAUUUCAUGGUCUUGUCAGAGAGACAUCAAACGCUCCAGUAACCAAAUACCAGAAAAUGGCUUUAAUUAGUGGAUCUCAAUCGUAUAAAUAAUUUUUUUCUAAGUUAAAAAAUGGAGAAUUUUUUAAAAGGGAAAAGAAAAGGGAAAGCAGGAGGCAACAGGCUUCAAACACCCAAAGGAACAAGGGAAAGAGGCAGUCUCAGAGGAGCUCCCGAGCGGUCCCCUGCACUCCUCGAAUCAGGGGACAAGGGGCACAAACACGUCUCAGGUCUCUGGCAGGUCUGCUUUAUGAAGAUGUGUCCCUUGUGAUUUCACCUGAUUAGAGCUGGGUCCAGGGCUGUGCUCGUUACUGGCAGGUAGGAGAAAAAGAGUCUGAAAACUGCGACAGUGGCUACGGAGCCAUGCUGCAAAAGGUGUGGAACAGGACUGACCACAUUCAACAUGCGUGUGGCCCUGCAGACACAGCGAGGCAUAUGGUCAGGAGCCAUGCAGGAGCAGGUCCCCGAGGAGGCAUGCGAUGGGGAGACAGGGAGAGGAGGCCCUGUUCUGCAGUGCCCGUUUGGGGUGCCCAUACGUUGAAAUGCCUCCAUGCUCCUCCAAACUGAAUCUCUCCUGAUACUGCUGGGAAAAAAGAUCACAGACCUUAAGAGGAGGAAGAUCAAAACAGCUGAUUGCUCCUCACAGCCCCCCCAAGCUGUGACAGCUCUCUUGGCUGACAAUGGGUUGGGGAGGGAGGUUUGGACUGAGUUUGGUUUCUGAGGUCAGUCCGGCCUCAGCACAGUUGGGAUCUGGCUGGAUCUUCAGCAAAGAAGGGAGUUUAUAAGCACGUCGACUUGGCUCUGGAGACACUAUGGUGUAUGAAUGCUGGACCUCAUUAUGUUACCCACAGAGGGAUGUUAGCAUGUUUCUGAAGGAGCCACGAAUGUCAUCCCCUAGACAGCAAUGUUCCUGUCAUUCCACCCAGGUCCACUGAAGGUUAUACAAGAAUCAGUAUUGGCAAUGCAAGGUGGUAGCAGCCAGGACUCAGCCUUGCAGGCCUGAGAGUCAGGCAGGGCCCUGAGAGGACUCUCUAUAGGGAAGAGCCUAGCAGUCUCAAAUGACCCCAUUCUGAAGAGGACCCCGGCGUCAUCUGCCCAGGUGACCUUUAGGGAGUAUGGCCCACUGGUUACUGUCAAUUGAAGGAAACGAAGAACAGAGUCCUGCAGUAGCUCUCUCAGAGCCUCGUGGAGGCCCCAGCUUUCAUCUGUGGAAAUGUGUUAAGGACAAGGAGGGGUAAAGGACUUUAAACGUGAUGAAGAAAUAAAGUGGCUAGAAGGAACGGAAGCCGAGGAACUCUCCACUGUCUUCAAUAAGGCCCAAGAUGAGUGAUCUGGUAUUAAUGUGACAGAGAGCACCUUCUCAGAGCCGCCAGUGGAAGAACAUUAGAAACCAGGCAUAUCUGAUUCUAUUUCAUCCUCUUCAUGUUACACUGAGAAAAACAAGACAAACUACACUGCUUUUAUUCUAAAUCCUUAGGUUUUGUAUUUUUCCUUAUAUAUAUUUAUUAAAAAAAUGCUCCUUUGAUCAGUGCCACCCGUGACACCCCCACAUACGGAACGCUUCUGAGCGGCUCCCUCUGCGCAAGGCCACUGCUGGUGACAGCCAACUGGUUUUGAUCACAGCCACUCGGAAUCGAAUUUUCAUAAGACAGAUGAGGAGUCUUACUGCUGCUCGCUCUCUUAUCAGAUGAGAAAUGGGGGGGAGGGGGAGAACGGGUCCUGAGGGAGCAGCGCAACAAUCAAGGGCGGCAGGGCUCUUUCUCUGUCCCUCCGCUGCUGCAAUUUUCAAAGGAGUUCGCCUCCGGCACUUUUAAAUGAUGGUGUCUCAAUUCUGUAAUCAUCUUUCAAAAGCUUUCUCUUAAAGGGUCUUUUAGGUAAACCUAGUUCGUCAACCACACUUAUGGACUCAGGAAUCACAUUGUGUCCUCCUGCGUGUGUAUAUAGACAAGUAUACACACACAGAGAUGUAUGCACAUGCGCACACACACACACAGGACAUCUCUGAAUGUUCAGAAAGCUGGCAGAGCCUAAAGCACGAAAGGAAGAUGCGUCACUUGGCCAUGAAGUUUGCCUCUUGCGAGGGUCAGAGGAUUCCCCAGAUUUCUGCCCUAUGUAGGUUUUGCUGCCUCAAGUCCUCCUUUAGAAACUUAUCUCCAUGUGUGAUGUGUCAGAAGGAAAAGACUUCUCCAACUGAGGGCCAAGUGACGUCCUAAGUCCAACCUCAGAUGCACAAACAUGCCUGUCCCUUCCCAUCUCACCUAGGCAACACCUAGCUGCCAGCCUUCAAACGGAGAAAUGAACCACAGCCUUCUAUUUAGGAGAGCACAGACAGUCACCAGUCAUCCCAGGCCACAACCUGCUGUGUUCUGGGUUACAAAGACUAUUUGGAGCAACUCUACAACUCCACCUAUCUUUUUCCAUUGCAGAGAACAUGGUGCCUUUUCUUUAUAUAGUCCCUGUCACUGGAAACAGACACCUUAGAAUACUGAGCCUGUCUUUCUUUCUGGUCAAAUAAAAAUCAAAGCAGUUUAAGAUCUCCCUGGGCAGUGGUCCUCAUCCAUCUAAGGCCGCUCUCCUGCUCGCAUCCUCAUUCACCCGCUCCUGUCACAACUGUGUGGAGGUGGGAAGUGCUCGUGCCUCUUCCUGAAAGCUGAAACACCACAUACAGUCACAUCUGGGACAGUCUCACAAAACUAAAUGGGAUUGGCUUUGUCCUAUCCUGAUCCUGUCUUCUGUAUUAAAUGGGGACAGAAUCCAAGGAGUUACAGCAUACAAACCUGAUCUCUAUAAUGAUUUUGGGGAGAUUUAACUCUCUUUUCCUUUUGUCAGUGCUCAAUGCUGGAUGAUUUGCUAUUAAUCACAAUCCUCCUAACAGACUAUAGCACGACAGAAUACUGACAGAGCUUUCUCUCUGUGUUCCUGGAGGAAGGUUAAUACAACCUGCUUCGUUUAAAACAUGCAUGUGUGCACAAGACUUCUGUUUUCAUUCUUCACAUUCUACCUCUUCAGAUGCAUGCAAGCAAGCGGCUCACAUAACAAGGAAAAUGGAAUCCCAGAGACGUUACUACUGUCAACCUUGUUUUGAGCAGGGAUGUUCGUGAUGGUAUGUUCGGAAAGUCUGGUGUGACCCAGACAUUUCAGGGCAUAGUUAGGGACUCUGGCCUAGCCCUGCCAAUGCAAGAGGAGGUCUGGUCAAGUCUCAUAGUCCAGUGGUGCUCUGUGGAAUUUCAGUUCUCACCAAACCUCCCAAACUCUCCAAUACUCACGCUGCAAUCUGUACAAGCCCAGUGAAACUCCUCCAGCCCUAAAAUAGGUUCUCUCCUCUGGAGGAUUUAGCACAGGCACUCUUCAACUCAUCAUGUAAAAGUAAUCUCCAUGGAUUUGAUGGAAAAAAGAGAGGAACGGUCAAACCUGAAGAUCUGCUUCAUGUCAUGAGAGCUUUAAAGACCUGGUCUCUUGUGUUUGUCUCUAGCCAGCCCAGGCCCUGCUGUAGACAAGACUUGACAAUGAGAGGAGCAACAGAACUGAGGACAUGGCCAAGAAGUAAAGCUGAGAAUCGUGAUGGGGGAGCCGAUAUGCAACAGGCGGCUGGAGAACAGGUGGAGAUGGGUCUCCUCCAUAAGUAGGGCUGUGAGCAGUGGGGGUUAGGAGACACAAAGACCACGUCCGAGUCCCAGCACCAUCAUUUCCCAGCUGUGGUGUGCUGGAGCAGCUCGCACUGGCCCCAAAGGGCCACUUGCUAAAUUCUUAGGAAUUUUGCCUGCAGGUUGUCAAACGAAAACAUCAUUAAGGAUGAAAUUAUACAUUCUUAUAAUUAAGUAAAUUAUACUAAAAAGAAAGGUAAUAAAUACUCA